UAUUAUUCAAGGAUAAAAUAAUAAUAAUAUCAAAGGACUGAUUUUUACUUGUAAUUCCUUUCGGUUCUAGAUCGUUUCAUUAUCUCUUUCCUUCUGUCUCUUCCAGUUUAAAAGAGAGAAUGAGACUGUAUGAUUCUUCCACAUCAGGCAAAGAAGAGCACAAAAAUUGUAUUACAAUUGAUGAUUCUUUCACAUCGGUUAGUUCUUAAUCAUUUUUAUUUCGAAUUUUCUCUACUUAUUUCUUUAGGCUUUUAAAUUCUAAAUCGUGUCUCGCUUAAAAUUUUAGGGAAUUCUCUCAGUCCUAACAUGAAGCAAAGAACUUCAAUUAUGGAAAUCUUUGCUUUUUGGUAACAACUUCAUCAACCUACCACACCAGGAGAUUAAGAGCAUAAUGACUUAAUUGGUAUGAUCAUUCUUCUAAUUUUUAUUUUUGAGUUGUAGCAAGAUUUAAAAUUUAAUGGAGCAUGCGUAUGUGGUUUUUCUGUUGAAAGAUUUCUGAUGUCCACCAGGUGUUUGGAAAAAUGUCUUAGCUAGAAAAAAAUCUACUUUGUUCAGCCUACUCCUUUUAACUUUUGUAUAGACCUGUGAAUGUUUUUGCCAUUCUCCUCAACAGGAGGUGUGCUUAUGUGAUACAAAGAAACAAAUAAGUAAGACUUACAAUUGUGUGGUCUUAUUCUCCUCGGAAUCAACAGAUGCUUACAUCAGAAAAGGAACACUUAUAUCUUCUUAUUUUCUGCGGGUUUGAAUUACCUUACACUUUUCGUUUGUGUUUUUGAUUAAUAUAAUUUGUUGUUGUUUCAUGGUUGAUUACUCCAUCUGUUUCGUAGUAGGACCUUCACCUUACAAGUGCUCGAUAAAGACCUUCAACAACUUAAUUUUUUUGUUCUAUAAAUAUUUAAAAUUAUGGACUCAACUUUUCAAUACAAUAUUGAGAAACCCAAUCAACGUCAAUUCCACUUUUCUUACAAAACAACGAAAAAUCAUAGUUGUAGACUUGAGAUUUUGGCCAAUUGCUUACCCUUUGGUUAUUUAUCCAGAAAAUUAUACAUAUGUAGUGUAGUAAAUAUAUUUUCCUAUAGAACUUUUCCCUGCAUUAAAAUUAUGUCCUUUUUGCUUCUAAAAAUGACCCAGACAAAUUAUCUUUCCUACUAACCAUGGUAGACAAUCAUAACUCUGAUAUUUUAAGUUUCCAUGUGCCAUUUGUUGUGACCAAAAUGCGCAACUGGACAAGUUCUGCUUGCAAAUAUUUAGUUGUAACUUAGUUUAUUAAUUUCCUCCAAUAUCAGCUCUUCUUACAAUAUUAUUAUCAUGGAUGAACGUAGUAUUUCCAAAAUGGAAUAGAGGUAUACUAUCGACGCAAUUACGCCACUAACUACGAAGUGGACGUGCAAAAUAAUGUUUUUCCUUCUACGUUUUGUUGCUAUGCUAAAAAAAGAGAACUCUUAUUUUUAUAGGUGUGUGCACUUUCUGUUAUAUCUGUUACUAUAUGAAAAUGUAAAGUUGUGUUACUUCCAAAAUCAUAUUAAAUAAGGAAAGGAAAGUAAGAUAAGCCUUCGAAAAAGAACUUUUCAACUAAUCUUAACAAAAAUAAAAUAAAAUCGGAUACUCAUAGUCAAUGGAACUUUUAGAAUGUAUUGGCUGUUAAAAGUUCGAUACUCUUUCAUCUGUGAUAGUUCCAUGCCUUAGCCUCUUCAAAAAAAAAACAUUUCUCAUGCUUAUUAUCGGUUGAAUAUUUUUCAUAUUGAGAUUAUAUAUAUGUAGUACAUGGAGCAGCUACAAAAACUUAUAUUUUAUGACGAAAGUGUUUGCUUUGUAGCGUAUCCUCCUCCAAGAAUAUGAACUUGUAUAGCAUCAUCUCAUUAAUCACAUAUCCAAUUUGAUCUCCUUAGUGUGCCUCUUGCAACUGAAAAUAGUAAACUACCGCCAUAUUCAUAGGGAAUCAGUGUAGUCAAAUAUGUAGCAAAAGUAAACUCUUUCCAUGUAGUUUUUGACUUUUUUUUUUGUUCUUUUCUGGUGGAGAUCUUUGUCUGAUACUUAUUUUUACCUAAUUUAACAGGCUUAUAAAAUAAUAUCAUGUGGUUUUAUCUGCUUUCGCUUACGCCGUUGUCGAUUACGUUUCUCAUGUUUUCUGUUGGAUAUCUAUUAAGAUUGCGAGACUAUAUAUACAAGGACUAUCCUUAGUUGAUUAAUAUUCUUCACUUAAGUGGUCAGGCCCGUGCUAGAGAUUGAUUACUAGCCUAAGUUUAGAGUGCUUCCUCUGAAGAAGAGGACCAGAUUUUUACUGAGACAAUCUGAUUAAACGUUAGACUUCAAAUAAGAAAGCUUUAAAACUCUUAUAUGAAUCAUUUUGUAUGUAACAUUAGAAAAAAUGUUUCUACUUUAAGCUUUGACAUGAAAAUUCUUUGUUUGUUGAUUCUUGGUAGAGCGGUAAUGUAAACCCUUGAAAGUUAAACUUGUGAAAGAAACUGAUGGCUAAAGAUGGUAACAGAACUUCCAGUCACAAAGAUAAGCUCUCCUUUAUAGAAUGUAAAAGCUCCUAAAAUUUAUUUAAAUUUGGAAAGAUAUCUCCUACCAAAACUUAGCAUGCUAUUACUCAUUAAACUUUUUCGGAUUUAUAAAAAUAUCUUUUUAAACUUUGUUGUAACAUGCCUACUUGACUGUAGCUUCUCCCUUAAAUUAGCAAGUAGUUUUUUCUUUGUUUUGAAUUGUACUUGGUGUGAAUUAACCAGUAGCUACUGCUACUGAAGAUGAGAUGUUCCUACUUCUGUUCUUCAGAGUGAUGUUUGUUUGUCUUUCUACAUAGAUGUUGAGACGGAAUUAUGUUUCAAGGACCUUUUUUGUGGAAUCUGUAAUGUCCAAUUAAUUGAUCUAUUGCAUUCUGUUACAGAUAUAAGUCUAAAGAAGCAAUUGAGAUUUUAUAAGUGCAGGGCCCUCAAUUUUUUUAUUUUAAUAGUGGCUUGCCGACUAUUUGGCCUAUUAACCUUUUAACUAUUAAGUUGUGUCUAAUUUCAUUUUAGAGAUAGACCUAUUCUUCUUUACUUCAUCAAAAGAAGAGAUAUUAGUUACUUCGUGAAAGAUUUGAUCAUUCAUGAAUUGGCUUACUUAUAUUUUUCUUCAUUUUUUUAGGCAGUGGAACAGUUCUUUCAGCAUUACUCAGUCAAGAGGAGUCAUUUUGAAAUGGUGAAUAAGAUCAUGCAUGUAGUUUUGAGGCUGCAUGAGGAUACAACACAAGGGUGGCAAUAUUUUUGAAAGGUUUGAGGGCGGCAAGAUAAAUUUUAGAAUAACCAGUACCUUUGACAUCAAAAUUGAUGCUAAAUCACUUUUUGGUCCUUGAUUAACUCUUAUUCAUGUUAUGUUGAAUUUUCUACGAGGCGUUCAUGAUAAACUUCUAUUUUGGACAAGGGUCAAACCACACAGGUGUUCCAAUAAAGUCGCUUACCAUUAAUUGUUCUAUAACUAUGAACAUACAUAGAAAUGAAAAGAGAUGGAAGAAUUAUGAUUUAAAGGUACAGUUCUUUUGGUGCACUAUUUUUACUUGCAUG
rnacentral:lncRNA from 1 species